UUAAAUUGAAGAGUUUGAUCAUGGCUCAGAUUGAACGCUGGCGGCAGGCCUAACACAUGCAAGUCGAACGGUAACAGGAAGCAGCUUGCUGUUU
rnacentral:rRNA from 25 species